CAUUCCUUGGCACAAACUGUACGCAUUGGUCUUGUCACUCUGAGAACGAACCGUUUUCGGCACAACAUGCUGUUCAUUUCAGAGAGUUAGAAGAGGCCUAGCUAAGAAGUAAAAUUACUGGACAGAAAGUUGGUUCUAUUUCACCUCAAACCCGGAUGGAGGGUUUCUCCACCCACCCACACGUUGAAGGCAGCUCCUGCUUUGGUGCGAGCGUCUGCGGAGACGUGGUGCUGGUGGGUGCGUGUCCCCAGCAGUCAGCAGCUGAUGGAUUCAAAAAGCGUCGUAACAGACAGCAGCAAGAGCUCCAACCGAACAGAUUCCCAGGCAGAAAUCACAUGCUUGAUGAACUCUGAGGGUACAUCCCUGGCUCCCGGUACUCUUCUCUGACCCCAGGCAGUACUAUAUCUCAUUUAAAAGUCAGUCCUUCUCUGCUUGUUUGUUUUCUUUUUUUUUAAUUUCCUCAUCCCCUUGCUAUAGUGUUUUCCCUCUUGUCCUUAUAUGAACCAUCCAUCUUUUUCUUCAUCUUUCUGAUUUCUCUCUUAGCUUGACUAAUCACAGCAAUUUUCAAGCCUCAUAAAAAACUUUGUUGCCUGUCUCUCCUUCCUUACGCCGGCCUUUCUUCCUUGCUUUCAUCUCCUGAUUUUUUUCCUAGGGACAUGUGACUGUAUACAGGAACGCGUAAAUAGAGCUAAAUAAAAAUAUGUUUCCUUUAUACCUGAAAUAUAUAGAAAGACCUAAGGCUCAGCACUAAGCGUAUACCUUAAAAAGGUGGGCUUAUUCAGCGCUCCUCUAAGGCAAUUGAGACAUGUGAGUAUACAGCUGAGUGCGUUAAGCUGCACAGUGACCACAAUUCCGAGUACAUUGGAAAUAUUUUAUUUGCAGUGUGUUAAGGUUUUCAGAAACUGCUGUAUUGUUAUUGCCGGGAAAAUGCUGACAUAUAUUUUAUGUAACACAUCAGGCGGGAUACAGACUCACUUUGCAGAACUGAGUAGCAUUGCUACGGCCAAUUGUUCAACACAGCAUUUUGCUACGUUUUCUGACAUGCUUAAUAAAGAUAUUUUCAUGAUUCUAGAUUCAGUCUGAAUGCCAUUAACUGCUGGCUUUCUGAGGGAGCAGAAACGCAGCUCGUAAUGCCAGACUCCGCAGGUUUUGCUCAGCAGCCAUUAGGUACGACUUCAGAGCCUCUAAACCCUGGAAAUAAAAAGCACCUGGGCUGGUUGGCGGAACGUGGGCUGCUGCUUUCUGGCCGAUGGACGUUCUGCAAAUUGACUUCGCCCAUCAAUUAGGCUUAAGCGAAAGCCGUGAAGCGUUAAGGCUGAACCGGGCUUAAUUUUGACAUCAUCCGAUUCCGUCAUAGAAGGGGCCGUAGGAGAUCGUCGCGGUGAAAAACCUCCAGCCAAAUGGUCUGAAAGGUUUUUACGGGUGGUGAGAUGUGCCACCACUUGGAUCGAUGUGUGUCGUUUAAUGUUGGGAAGGAGCGGAUUAUUUUUUUGUGUGUUCUUUGUUUGGGUUUUUGAAGUUGCUGUGAUUAUAAGUCAGCGUAGUGGAUCCAGGUGAGGUGUAUCUACAUAUAUAAACGUAUAAACAUCACUGUAUGUCCGCAGCGGAGCAAAGGAAUCCAUCCCAGGGCAGAAGACGACCCAGAGGAGGUACCACAGAGAACAGUAGAGGGAAGGGGGAAGCGUUGGCCAAGGAGUUGUUCAAACUCAGUUGAUACCGAAGUGCGAUGAAAGCUGUGAUGCUCAUGUGGACUGAUGUCAGGUAAUGGUAGGACUAGAGGGAAUGGAUCAAAACUAGAGAUGGGUCAAUUCAGACUGGAUGUUAGGAAGAAGUUCUUCACCAUGAGGGUGGGGAGACACUGGAACAGAUUGCCCGGAGAGGUGGUGGAAGCCCCAUGCCUGGAAGUUUUUAAGGCCAGGCUGGACGGGGCUCUGAGCAACCUGAUCUAGUGGGAGAUGUCCCUGCCCAUGGCAGAGGGGUUGGAACGAGGUGAUCUUUAAGGUCCCUUCCAACCCUAACAAUUGUAUGAUUCUAUGGUUCUAUGAAUGCAGCUUCUUUUAGCAAAGAAGCUGAUUUCCACCAAAGAAACUGGGAAUGUCGGGGGAUUUUCUCCACCAGCAGUGCUGCAUCAGCCGGAGCUCACCUUAGCCCGAGGUUUAACAAGGUUUUUGCUGUGGUGUGAACGACACGGGAGAGGAAGAUCUCUCUCCCAUGUUUAGCCGUCAAGGCUGAAGCAGCAUCUGCUGGACCAGCGCGAUCUCCCAACACUGAGGGUUGUGAAGCCUCAGGUGAGGUCCCAAACAGCAGGGAGCUUUGCCGCUGGGUUCAGCAUCGCCGGGAUGUCACCCCCUCGGCCAGAGAACUGAAGCGUGCUUUUAAUUUCCUCCCGCGCUCAGGUCGGUCCCAGUUCAGCAGAGCGCUCAAUCCUCCGCCUGAGCGCUCGCGGUCCUCUGCCAGGACAAGGCGAGGGUUUGACAUGAGCUGUGUUGCGGGGAUCGCGUGAACCAGGUUAGGGGAAAAAAAAAAAAUAAAAAAAAUUGUGUGUAUAUUUAUAUAUAUAUAUAUAUGAAAAAAUAAAAGCAUCCCGGGAUUUCUGGAUUUGGGUCGGAUGUGAUGGGAUCUGGAUGAUGGCAUCCUGCCAGUAACCAGCUGGGCAAAGCUGAGUAACGAUGCUUUUCCUUCGUUGCCGUUCCGGCCAUAGGAUUCCUGUAUAAAAGCCCGUUUAAAAUCACUCUGCUCUCCGGGAUAUGUAACUUGGUCUGUUUUCAGCUCGCCACUGCUGAUCCUUCUAAAAGAGAGAGGUUUUUGACUUCCCAACCCCCCGUGUGUCCAGAGUUCAGAAAUCUCUGCGGAAGACGAAGGAAAUUAGAGAAAUUAGCUUUGAUCCCAUUCUGCCAGCAUAGGAUUAUUCCGCAUCAUACUGAUUUUGAAGUUUAUGUUUAAUCCGGUUUUACACGUCUCGGGGGACCGGGCUUCUUACAACCUCUUCUGCGAAACAGUUGUGUGGGUGUAGCCUCUGAUGUAGAGGUAGAAUUUGCAUUUCCAUUACUGCAUCCCGUGCCAUAUACAUAAUGUCGCUGUUUCGUGAUAUAUGGCUUUCAAAGGCAUACGGAUAUGUGGAUUUCAAAGGCGUAUCGUGCUCACGCAAUUUUAAAUGCUCACUACACAUUUCGUUAAACUAUAUUUUGAACCCCGGUCUUGGGAACACCUGCGCAUGACUUUCCUUCGGGUCUUCGAACUCUUGGAUAUAUUUAUAUACAAAAAGGGCUUGUAGCGCCCAGCGCGGAUCGUAGCGCGUGGAAACAACUGGCGUGAAACAAGGUUAAAAGAGCCAUGCGUGCAGAAAUCUUGCUAAUCGAGGCAAAGAGGGGGGUCAUGGAACUGUUUUCCAGCAAAGCGCAAGGUGUGAACGCUCAGCCCUGAGGUUUUUUGUUUUUUUAAUGCGUGGCGCUUUAUACGUGGCGAGUUUGUAAAACCCUAAAAUUUCUUUCUAAUAAACGUGUAUUUUCAGGCUUAAAAAAUACUUGUCUGUGAUCCUUCCAAGGGCCUUUUUGCAGGCGUUCGGUGGCGGCAGCGUGCUCAGAAGGUUUUCUCCUCACGCAGCCCGGGCACGGCGGUACCAGACCAGCAGAGCAUUUAAGCGCAUGAUCUAUUUUAAGUACGCCAGCGACGCGUUUUAAAAAUGACAACGUGUUUUGCUGGACUGACAAAAGCUUGUUCAGAGCCGUGUUAGGUGAGCGCCCAGAUCAGUCCCAGGGAUGCUUCUGCUGCCUCCUGGAGUCAAAAAGUCCUUGGAGUGGUCAGAAAUACGGUUUAUACACCAAAAAUGUGUUUUAUAGGUCGAGAGUUAAAAUUUCAAGUUGGCAAGGGUAUCUGUAUUUUAGUGGGAAGCCCAGGAGAUCCUGGAAUUGAACCCUCAGCUCUGUUCCUGCCCUGUGCCUUCACCCUUUAUACACACCUUGUGCUCUUACUUCAUUUUUCUUAAAGAGUGCAGACAGCACCGCGAGGAGAAAAUCCGGCUGCAUUUCUGGGAGAGAGGGCAAGCAGAAAGACAAU